CACGCCGUAAACGAUGGAUACUAGCUGUUUGGAGCAAUCUGAGUGGCUAAGCGAAAGUGAUAAGUAUCCCACCUGGGGAGUACGCACGCAAGUGUGAAACUCAAAGGAAUUGACGGGGGCCCGCACAAGCGGUGGAGCAUGUGGUUUAAUUCGAUGAUACGCGAGGAACCUUACCAAGGCUUAAAUGGGAGUCGACAGGCGUAGAAAUAUGCUUUUCUUCGGACGAUUUUCAAGGUGC
rnacentral:rRNA from 1 species